rnacentral:rRNA from 1 species
GACGAACGCUGGCGGCGUGCUUAACACAUGCAAGUCGAGCGGUAAGGCCCUUUCGGGGGUACACGAGCGGCGAACGGGUGAGUAACACGUGGGUGACCUGCCCUCAGCUCUGGGAUAAGCCUGGGAAACUGGGUCUAAUACUGGAUAUGACUCCACGGUGCAUGUCGUGGGGUGGAAAGCCUUGUGCGGCUGAGGAUGGGCCCGCGGCCUAUCAGCUUGUUGGUGGGGUGANGGCCUACCAAGGCGACGACGGGUAGCCGGCCUGAGAGGGCGACCGGCCACACUGGGACUGAGACACGGCCCAGACUCCUACGGGAGGCAGCAGUGGGGAAUAUUGGACAAUGGGGGAAACCCUGAUCCAGCGACGCCGCGUGGGUGAAGAAGGCCUGCGGGUUGUAAAGCCCUUUCAGUGGGAAGAAAGCCUCGACCUAACACGUCGGGGUCUUGACGUAACCCAUAGAAGAAGCACCGGCUAACUCUGUGCCAGCCGCCGCGGU